AUGACUCCAGCUCAGCCGAUGCCUUGAUGCAGCUAGGAAUAAUGCAGCAGACAGCCAUGGGAGAAGCCUGGAGAGCAGUAAGAGGAAGGAGAACUCAUGACUUAUCCAGGACCCCAGAACUGGAGGAACAGCAGAGCAGCAGGGCAUCUCAGCUCCUCAACCCAACAUAAAAAGGCCACCUAGACUCAGCAUUUCCCCACCCCCAAACCAGCAACAUUUGACAGUUCAAGUAGGAACAUAUUUCCCUGGGC
rnacentral:lncRNA from 10 species